rnacentral:rRNA from 1 species
AUACGGAGGAUCCGAGCGUUAUCCGGAUUUAUUGGGUUUAAAGGGUGCGCAGGCGGCCAUUUAAGUCAGCGGUUAAAUCGUGGGGCUCAACCCCAUUCUGCCGUUGAUACUGGGUGGCUUGAUUGCGGUCGAGGUUGGCGGAAUUCGUUGUGUAGCGGUGAAAUGCAUUGAUAUGACGAAGAACACCGAUUGCGUAGGCAGCUGACCAGACCGCAAAUGACGCGCAUGCACGAAAGUGCGGGGAUCGAACAGGUGUAGAUACCCUGGUAGUCCGCACAGUAAACGAUGAAUACUUGUUUUCGGCGAUAUAAUGUCGUAGGCAAAGCGAAAACGAUAAGUAUUCCACCUGGGGAGUACGCCGGCAACGGUGAAACACACAUGAAUUGACGUGG